CCUACGGGGUGCAGCAGUGGGGAAUAUUGCACAAUGGGGGAAACCCUGAUGCAGCGACGCCGCGUGAGUGAAGAAGUAAUUCGUUAUGUAAAGCUCUAUCAGCAGGGAAGAAAAUGACGGUACCUGAGUAAGAAGCCCCGGCUAACUACGUGCCAGCAGCCGCGGUAAUACGGAGGGGGCAAGCGUUAUCCGGAUUUACUGGGUGGAAAGGGAGCGUAGACGGCAGGACAAGUCUGGAGUGAAAGGCGGGGGCUCAACCCCCGGACUGCGCUGGAAACUGUACGGCUGGAGUGCAGGAGAGGUAAGUGGAAUUCCUAGUGUAGCGGUGAAAUGCGUAGAUAUUAGGAGGAACACCAGUGGCGAAGGCGGCUUACUGGACUGUAACUGACGUUGAGGCUCGAAAGCGUGGGGAGCAAACAGGAUUAGAUACCCCAGUAGUC
rnacentral:rRNA from 1 species